rnacentral:rRNA from 1 species
AUUGAACGCUGGCGGUAGGCCUAACACAUGCAAGUCGAACGCGAAAGUCCUUCGGGAUGAGUAGAGUGGCGGACGGGUGAGUAACGCGUAGGAAUCUAUCCUGUAGUGGGGGAUAACGUUUCGGAAGGAACGCUAAUACCGCAUACGCCCCAAGGGGGAAAGCGGGGGAUCUUCGGACCUCGUGCUAUAGGAGGAGCCUGCGUCGGAUUAGCUAGUUGGUGAGGUAAAGGCUCACCAAGGCGACGAUCCGUAGCUGGUCUGAGAGGAUGAUCAGCCACACCGGAACUGAGACACGGUCCGGACUCCUACGGGAGGCAGGAGUGGGGAAUAUUGCGCAAUGGGCGAAAGCCUGACGCAGCCAUACCGCGUGUGUGAAGAAGGCCUUCGGGUUGUAAAGCACUUUCAGUGGGGAGGAAAAGCUGGUGGCUAAUAUCCAUCGGCCGUGACGCUACCCACAGAAGAAGCACCGGCUAAUUCCGUGCCAGCAGCCGCAGUAACAC